CCUACGGGAGGCAGCAGUGGGGAAUAUUGGGCAAUGGGCGCAAGCCUGACCCAGCAACGCCGCGUGAAGGAAGAAGGCUUUCGGGUUUUAAACUUCUUUUGUCAGGGACGAAGCAAGUGACGGUACCUGACGAAUAAGCCACGGCUAACUACGUGCCAGCAGCCGCGGUAAUACGUAGGUGGCAAGCGUUAUCCGGAUUUACUGGGUGUAAAGGGCGUGUAGGCGGGGAGGCAAGUCAGAUGUGAAAGUCACGGGCUCAACCUGUGGCCUGCAUUUGACACUGUUUUUCUUGAGUACUGGAGAGGCAGACGGAAUUCCUAGUGUAGCGGUGAAAUGCGUAGAUAUUAGGAGGAACACCAGUGGCGAAGGCGGUCUGCUGGACAGUAACUGACGCUGAGGCGCGAAAGCGUGGGGAGCAAACAGGAUUAGAUACCCUAGUAGUC
rnacentral:rRNA from 1 species